rnacentral:rRNA from 1 species
AGAGUUUGAUCAUGGCUCAGGAUGAACGCUGGCGGUAUGCCUAACACAUGCAAGUCGUACGAGAGUUUUUAACUCUAGUGGCGGACGGGUGAGUAACACGUAAGAAUUUACCUUCAGGAGGGGGAUAACAAUUGGAAACAAAUGCUAAUACCCCAUAUGCUUUCGAGUGAAAUGGAUUUAUAUUUAUCCGCCUAAAGAGAAGCUUGCGUCUGAUUAGCUUGUUGGUAAGGUAAAAGCUUACCAAGGCGACGAUCAGUAUCUGGUUUGAGAGGACGAUCAGACACACUGGAACUGAGACACGGUCCAGACUCCUACGGGAGGCAGCAGUGGGGAAUUUUCCGCAAUGGGCGAAAGCCUGACGGAGCAAUACCGCGUGAGGGAAGACUGCCUAUGGG